GUCCAGGUCUGUCAGCAUGACUAGAGGAAGGCAUGACCUGUGUCAAAGUGGGAAAAAUAGCCUUGUUCGUGUUUGUGUGGGGAAGGUGGCUGCAGCUGUUUGUCACUUGAUGCAGAGUCAUGAAUGGAAGCAAAAUUUUGCUGAGUCCAUCUGUGAACCCAGGGUCUGUGAUGGCAAGCUCAAGAGUCUAUGCUAGAAGUCAAAGAGUCCGAGCUGCAAGCCAGGAGAUGAUAUCAAGAUGAAGGUGAAGAAUGGAGAUUCUCCAGAGAACAGAAGCUGAUCCUUCCUUCCUCAUUUUCCCCAUCAUACCAUGCAGGGAACAAGCCAUCCUAGGGUGUGUCCUUUACUCCGUAAGGUGCAGAAUUUUUGGACUGACUUAGUUAAGCUUCUAAACUUCUCAAGUUGACACAAUCAACCAACAAUUACAUUCAGCCUUAUAAUCAGACCAUCAUAUUCAUCAAUAAACAGCACGAGGUAUUUUUAACUUUAAA